GUAUUCCUCACUGUCUACCUGACUGUGCAGUAGACCCUGGCUCAUCAGGAGUAAGAAACCAUGACAGAAGAAAGAUCAGCACAUCCCUGAGCCUUUAUCAAAGAGACCGAGAGAUGGAGUAAAGUACUUCAACUAACCACGUCUUUCAGUCUGUCCUCGAGAGUGCAAAGAAGGGCUGUAGGAAGAGGAAACAUCAGAGGCUGCAAAGAAGAGGAAGAGGCUGAAAUAGAGAGACUGGCACAGGGCAAGGUAAGCAUGGUGCAGCAAGGUGUUAUUAGGCUCAGGAAUGUGUGUUUGGAAUGGGGAAGGGCAUGAAUGGCCAGAGGCAGAAGUGUGGGAAAAGAUCAGCAUUAGAUAUAAAGGAGAAUCUAGAAGGAUGGGCCAUGGGAUGUGUUAAAUUUCACACUCCAGGAGGUGGGGGACUGGAAAUAUAACAGAGAAUUCAGAGGACAAUAUUUGGGAAGGAGGGUGAAGAGAAGUGGCAACCCAGGCCACUGGACAUGCAGUGACUCUGAGAAACAGUAAGUGGUCUUGUGCUGUCUGGGACUGAGGGAAAAUGACAACAAACAAUUCGACCUUGCACUUACUUCAAGAUCCUCUACCCAGCACUGCCUUAAGAGCUCCAUUUCGGCACUCAGAUUAAAGUGCUGCAGCUCAAAACACAGCCUUGCCAACUUGGCUCCAGGGAAGGAGCAGCCAUUGGAACAAUGCAGGCAAUUUAAUCGUGUUGCAGAGAGGAGUAAGCCCAAGUCUGGAGGCUUUACUGGAACGGAAUGCAAUUCCCUCGUCCCAGUAGGAAGAAUGAAAGUGGGGCUGAGGUGGACAAAAGACAACAUCCAAAAUGACAUAAAAAUUAACCACCCAACUCAAUGAAUUACCCACGAGAUAAUGGGAUAAAUGUUUGUGAGUCAGACCAAAGAGCAAAAACAGAACAGAAAGAAAGAAUUCUCAACUGUAGGCUGAAACCUUUCUACUUCGUUCUGUGAGGCAAAAUCUCAGUCUCUC
rnacentral:lncRNA from 1 species